rnacentral:rRNA from 1 species
AUUGAACGCUGGCGGCAUGCUUUACACAUGCAAGUCGGACGGCAGCACAGAGAAGCUUGCUUCUUGGGUGGCGAGUGGCGAACGGGUGAGUAAUAUAUCGGAACGUACCGAGUAAUGGGGGAUAACUAAUCGAAAGAUUAGCUAAUACCGCAUAUUCUCUGAGGAGGAAAGCAGGGGACCUUCGGGCCUUGCGUUAUUCGAGCGGCCGAUAUCUGAUUAGCUAGUUGGUGGGGUAAAGGCCCACCAAGGCGACGAUCAGUAGCGGGUCUGAGAGGAUGAUCCGCCACACUGGGACUGAGACACGGCCCAGACUCCUACGGGAGGCAGCAGUGGGGAAUUUUGGCCAAUGGGCGCAAGCCUGAUCCAGCCAUGCCGCGUGUCUGAAGAAGGCCUUCGGGUUGUAAAGGACUUUUGUCAGGGAAGAAAAGGCUGUUGCUAAUACCGACAGCUGAUGACGGUACCUGAAGAAUAAGCACCGGCUAACUACGUG